CACGUAGGGUGCGAGCGUUGUCCGGAAUUAUUGGGCGUAAAGAGCUCGUAGGUGGUUUGUCGCGUUGUUCGUGAAAUGCCACAGCUUAACUGUGGGCGUGCGGGCGAUACGGGCAGACUGGAGUACUGCAGGGGAGACUGGAAUUCCUGGUGUAGCGGUGGAAUGCGCAGAUAUCAGGAGGAACACCGGUGGCGAAGGCGGGUCUCUGGGCAGUAACUGACGCUGAGGAGCGAAAGCGUGGGGAGCGAACAGG
rnacentral:rRNA from 1 species